UAAUUCCCUAUAUACCUCUCAUAUGUUUGAAAAUAUUCGAUUUAUCUUUUUUUUUUUCUUUCUAAAAUACCCCUCAUAUGUUCCGCCGUUAUUGCAAAAUACCCCCGCAGUUAUCUCCUGUUAAGUUAACUUGGGUUAAAUAUGAGUUAAAUAUCUACCAUAGUUAAAAUAAAUUAAAAUAUCAAUUUUGCCCUUAACUUAAGGGCAAAUAAGAAAUAUAGGUGAUAGUAGAGGGGUAUAUUGAAAAAAACCAAAAGUCAAAAUACUUCUUAUACCCCUGACUUUAAGGACAAAUAAAAAAGCCAGUGAUGAUAGAAGGGUAUAUUUGAGGCAAAAUAGUAAUUUUAUAAAGAUAACAGAGUUAAUUAACAGAUUUUAACUUUAAGGGUAUAUUAGAAAUAUGUUAGAAUGUAGAAAGGGUAUUUUCAAUAUUAGCCUUCUAAAAAGGGUAAAUCGAAAAGUCGGGAUCUUUUCAGGGGUAUAUUACCAAUUGCCCCCUUUUUUAAGAUUUUAAAAUUCAUAUAAUAUAUGAUGCAUUUUAUAGUUUGUUUAUGAGAUCCAAAAUAAUUUUAUAUAUAAAAUAUAAUAUAAUUAAAAUUAUUAAUUUGGCUAUAUCAUUUUGAGUGAUAGUUAAAUUUAAGAAGUUAAAAUAGUUAAG
rnacentral:lncRNA from 1 species